rnacentral:rRNA from 1 species
UACGGGGGGUGCGAGCGUUGUCCGGAAUCACUGGGCGUAAAGGGCGCGUAGGUGGUUUGAUAAGGGUGUGGUGAAAGUCCGGAGCUCAACUCCGGAUCUGCCGUGCCGACUGUCAAACUCGAGGGCUGUAGAGGCAGACGGAAUUCCGGGUGUAGCGGUGGAAUGCGCAGAUAUCAGGAGGAACACCGGUGGCGAAGGCGGGUCUCUGGGCCGAUACUGACGCUGAGGAGCGAAAGCGUGGGGAGCGAACAGG